rnacentral:lncRNA from 1 species
UAGCGUGAGAGGUUUGAUGGUGCAGGCCGGAGGCUGAGAGAGUGGGGCGGCGUUUGCAGAAAAGGGGAGCGAUAGGGUAGACUGGUUUGAGGGAGUAGUGGUGGGCGGAGGAGAGCAUCGCUUCGCCGCCAUUGGCGACCGGAGUUGGCAGAGGUGAGUUUUGUAUAAAUGGAUCUGAAUUUUUCCCUUUUUUUCUUCUUAUUUUCUGUUGGGAGAGGGAGAGUGUUGUAUAGAGCAG